ensembl:ncRNA asRNA:CR45152 antisense RNA:CR45152
GGGAAUGCGUCCGUUUAGCUGCACACGCUCCAGAGCUGCAAAAACAGAGGGAAAUCAAAGUAAUUACCAUGAAGUGCCCCUGACAAAUCAAUUUACCUUCGUCAAUUAGCUUCACCGCCAGGGGGAAGUGGUUUUCCAUGCGCGAUCGCUCCGUCAUGAGCUCCUGCAUGUACUUCUGGACCGCCGGCGCCGGCUGGGCCUUCUCGCCGUCUGCGUUGGCGUUGUGUUCGUUCUCAUGCUCCCCGUUGCUCGUCCCGCCGCUGACGCCGGUGGGCACCACUCCUGUCCCGGCCCCCGCAGUUCCCGCUGCUGAUCCACCGCCGACUCCCGUCGCAGUGGAAGCCACCGCAGAGGCCACCGCGGAUGACCCUGGCACGCGCAGUCCGUUCUCCGCCAUUUGUCGUCCUGCCUUCGGGAUCGCUGUCGCUCUAUCGUCCUGCUAAGUCGCCGAGUCUCGGAUUUUCCGUGCGCAGAUUGCGGGCGAUCGCUUUUGCUGUCGAUUCGUGUGUAUUUUAUUCGGACAUUUACUAUGUCAGCGGCUCGGUCCGGCAACUCCGGUCUCUCGGGCUGUCUCUCGUGCUUCUGCAGCGUGCUGUUCGCUG